rnacentral:misc_RNA from 1 species
GGAUAAACGAAUCUGACAGCGCAGAAGAUGAUAUUAACAAAGGAUGGUCUGGACUUCAGUCAAUUCCUAGGCAAGUAUGGCUUGAUAGAAGUGGAAGCCAAUUAGUGCUGUGGCCAGUGGAAGAAAUCAAUAAGCUACAUGACAAGCAAGUCAGCAUCCAGCAUAAGAAACUUGAUGGUGGAUCAGUACUCGAAAUUCCAGACAUAACUGCUUCACAGGCAGAUGUAGAGGUUUUGUUUGAAUUGCCAGAAUUAGAAGAGGCCGAGUUAUUGAACUCUACCUGGGUUGAUCCCCAAAAAAUGUGUACUGAUGCAAAUGCAGCAGUGAGAGGUAGAUUGGGGCCAUUUGGUUUGCUAGCUUUAGCAACAGAGGACUUGACAGAGCAAACUGCAAUAUUCUUUAGAGUUUUUAGAGGCCACAAUGCAUAUACAGUACUCAUGUGCAGUGAUCAAAGCAGGUCUUCUCUAAAAGAAAAAGUGGAUAAAACCACAUAUGGAGCUUUUGUCAAUAUAGAUCCCCAGCAUGAAAAGAUUUCAUUAAGAAGCUUGAUAGAUCAUUCAAUCAUUGAGAGUUUUGGUGGGGAAGGGAGAACUUGUAUUAGCAGUAGAGUUUAUCCUCAGUUAGCAGUUCACAAAGAAGCUCACCUGUAUGUAUUUAACAAUGGAACUCAGAGCAUAACCAUCUCAAAAUUGAAUGCUUGGGGAAUGAGCAAAGCCCAGUUCAUUUAUGAAGAAAAUUGUUUUAGUUACAAGGCUUCCCAAUAGAAANNNNNNNGUAGUAUGAAUGUCUUGAGAAAUGAUGUGGUCACUUGUGCUGAUCCACCACCACCAUCCGGU